UAGUAACAAGUACCUACUUUAGUUAUCAUCACAAAGAUCGGAGGACUGUACGAAUAUACUAACGAUUUUAACAGAAGGACAGUUUUAUAACAUACAUAGUUGUAUUAGUAUCGUCGACGGGGCAACUCGUGCCGUUGUGUGAAGCAGUUGCCAUGCUACAGCUAAUCGUGUACAGUUUACUGAUCUUCCUAACAUGUCUAGCUGUAUUUGAUAUAAUCAGACUUUGCGCUUAUGGAAAUCAGGAUACUAAAAGAAGACUGAGAAUCUUUUCAGCUCCGUACCACUUGGUGAAGAACAAGCUGAAAGGCAUGAAGACCCUGAAAGAGGAGAGUCCUCCACCGAGCACUGAAACUAAACCAUCCACCAUCUCAGAGACCGUCUGAUCUGUAAUAUUUAAGCAAUAUUCUCAAUUAUACGUAGCCUUAAGA